AGAGUUUGAUCAUGGCUCAGAUUGAACGCUGGCGGCAGGCUUAACACAUGCAAGUCGAACGGUAACAUGAGUGCUUGCACUUGAUGACGAGUGGCGGACGGGUGAGUAAAGUAUGGGGAUCUGCCAAAUGGAGGGGGACAACAGUUGGAAACGACUGCUAAUACCGCAUAAAGUUGAGAGACCAAAGUACGGUUCCGAAAGGACGUGCGCCAUUUGAUGAACCCAUAUGGGAUUAGCUAGUUGGUGGGGUAAAGGCUCACCAAGGCGACGAUCUCUAGCUGGUCUGAGAGGAUGACCAGCCACACUGGAACUGAGACACGGUCCAGACUCCUACGGGAGGCAGCAGUGGGGAAUAUUGCACAAUGGGGGAAACCCUGAUGCAGCCAUGCCGCGUGUAUGAAGAAGGCCUUCGGGUUGUAAAGUACUUUCGGUAGUGAGGAAGUUGUGUGUAUGAAAAGUGCAUGCAGUUGACGUUAGCUACAGAAGAAGCACCGGCUAACUCCGUGCCAGCAGCCGCGGUAAUACGGAGGGUGCGAGCGUUAAUCCGAAUGACUGGGCGUAAAGGGCAUGUAGGCGGAUAAUUAAGUUAGGUGUGAAAGCCCUGGGCUCAACCUAGGAAUUGCACUUAAAACUGGUUAACUAGAGUAUUGUAGAGGAAGGUAGAAUUCCACGUGUAGCGGUGAAAUGCGUAGAGAUGUGGAGGAAUACCGGUGGCGAAGGCGGCCUUCUGGACAGAUACUGACGCUGAGAUGCGAAAGCGUGGGGAGCAAACAGGAUUAGAUACCCUGGUAGUCCACGCCGUAAACGAUGGAUACUCGUUGUUGGGGGUUACCCUUCAGUGACUAAGCGAAAGUAAUAAGUAUCCCACCUGGGGAGUACGACCGCAAGGUUGAAACUCAAAUGAAUUGACGG
rnacentral:rRNA from 1 species